UACGUAGGGGCCGAGCGUUGUCCGGAGUUACUGGGCGUAAAGCGCGCGCAGGCGGCUCGUCAAGCCUGACGUGAAAGCCCCCCGGCUCAACCGGGGGAGGGUCGUCGGGGACUGGCGGGGCUUGAGGUCGGCAGGGGGUUGGUGGAAUUCCCGGUGUAGUGGUGAAAUGCGUAGAGAUGUGGAGGAACACCGAUGGCGAAGGCAGCCCCCCUGGGUUAACACUGACGCUCAGGCACGAAAGCGUGGGGAGCAAACAGG
rnacentral:rRNA from 1 species